GCGACAGUAGGUUGGUCGUGCCACCGGUACGUACUGGUCUCACUGAUUCCUCCUUCCUGAAGAACCGUAAUGCCAUUAAUUUGGUGUUACGGGGAAACAGGACUGUUACUUUGAAAAAAUUAGAGUGUUUAAAGCAAGCUAACGCUUGAAUACAUUAGCAUGGAAUAAUGAAAUAGGACGAUCGAUCCUAUUUUGUUGGUUUCUAGGAUUGACGUA
rnacentral:rRNA from 1 species